UUUAUGACGUCAUGAUCUAAACGCAUAAAAGGAAAGAUUUUCCUGUACGCCAUCUUUUCCAAGUUUCGUAGCAGACGUGAUGGGUCUUUUACAAUCAGUUUACCAUUUAAAAUGGUCAAAAAUAGGAGUUUGUUUGACCAGACGGUUUGAAAAAAAUGCUGGAAAAUAAAGGUGGAACUGGAAAAAAGAAGUUGAAUCAAAGAUGAAAGCAUCUGUGAAAAAUUGAGGAACAUUUAUUUGAAGAUAAAGAAUGAUGUGAAUGCUAUCGUUUGGAGCAUAAUUGGAUGCAAAUGGAACACUUCCUUGAUUUCUCAUCAUCAGGAUGGUAUGAAGAAUAAUGAAAAGUACAAGAUGACAAAUUUCCUGAAUGGAAGGGGCACAAUCCAAACAAGAUACAUUUAAAUUGUGAAAAAGUUAUAACUAUUAAUAAUAAAUAUUUAUUUUAAAUAAAAA